rnacentral:rRNA from 1 species
UACAGAGGUGGCUAGCGUUGCUCGGAAUCACUGGGCGUAAAGGGUGCGUAGGCGGGUCUUUAAGUCAGGGGUGAAAUCCUGGAGCUCAACUCCAGAACUGCCUUUGAUACUGAGGAUCUUGAGUACGGGAGAGGUGAGUGGAACUGCGAGUGUAGAGGUGAAAUUCGUAGAUAUUCGCAAGAACACCAGUGGCGAAGGCGGCUCACUGGCCCGUAACUGACGCUGAGGCACGAAAGCGUGGGGAGCAAACAGG